UACGUAGGGUGCGAGCGUUGUCCGGAAUUACUGGGCGUAAAGAGCUCGUAGGUGGUUUGUCGCGUUGUUCGUGAAAACUCACAGCUCAACUGUGGGCGUGCGGGCGAUACGGGGCAGACUGGAGUACUGCAGGGGAGACUGGAAUUCCUGGUGUAGCGGUGGAAUGCGCAGAUAUCAGGAGGAACACCGGUGGCGAAGGCGGGGUCUCUGGGCAGUAACUGACGCUGAGGAGCGAAAAGCGUGGGGGAGCGAACAGG
rnacentral:rRNA from 1 species